rnacentral:misc_RNA from 1 species
GGGUGAAGUCGUAACAAGGUAGCNGUAUCGNAAGGUGCGGCUGGAUCACCUCCUUUCUGGAAACUGCAAUCAAAUUUGAACGCUCACACUUAUCGGUUGUUGGAAGGUUGUCGCCAACGACUAUGGUUCGCGCCUGGUCACAAGCGACCGGCUCGGGUCUGUAGCUCAGUUGGUUAGAGCACCGUCUUGAUAAGGCGGGGGUCGUUGGUUCGAGACCAACCAGACCCACCAUUCCUCCACUUCAAUCCUGGGGGAUUAGCUCAGCUGGGAGAGCACCUGCUUUGCAAGCAGGGGGUCGUCGGUUCGAUCCCGAUCAGCUCCACAAAUUGAUUUGCGAUCCUUUGAAAAUUAAAUAACCGAGAGUAAAGUAAACAAUACAAUAGACACGCAAUGCAAUUUUAAGUUGGGUCUCUUAAUUGAAAAAUACGAAUACGCGUAGUAUGAGCCAGACAGUAAUGUCUUGGUCAAGUUUUAAAGGGCGCGCGGUGGAUGCCUAGGCGAUUAGAGGCGAUGAAGGACGUGCUAA